rnacentral:snoRNA from 1 species
AACCUCAUUCUGGAUUAGAAUGGACACUGUUGAUUGUUGUCCCGAAUUGGUCAAUGUGGCUAAAUUGAGACACAGGUCAUGCUUCCAUCAUAGUAAAUAUUUACAGUGGUGACAAUGAGGCCUGUAACAUUU